AUGGGACAAUGCUGGAGACUUCCUAAGUAUUUGUUGAAUGAAUUAAUGAAUCCUGUUAAUUAUUUUGACUUUUUGAUCUUUGAGGACUUUCUAAUUUCCCCUGAUUGCAGGGGAAAUGCUCUAGGAAAGAAGAUCCAAAGGAAAGGAGAAAAGAAAACAAGAGAAGAAAAGAAGGGGGAAAAGGAAGGAGCUCUUUUCACAAAGCAAGACUUUUUAGUAUUGCCUAGGGGUGUCCUUGUGCCUCUGCUUCAGCGUUCAAAGAGUCUCCAGCUUGCAGAAAAUUCCAUGUCUUUUAAGGAUGUGUGCUGAAAUAUUUACAGAAGAAAUGAUAUGAUGUCUUAGAUUUGCUUCAAAAUAAUCCAGUUGUGGAGAGAGGGCUAGGUAUAUUAAAAUAAGGUUGGCCAUAAAUUAAGAAUUGUAGAAGCUAGAGGUUGGGUACAUGGGAGUUUAUUAUUCUCUUCUAUCCUUGUAUUGGCUUGAAAUUUCCCGUAAUGACAAGUUUUUUUUUUUUUAAAUAAACAGUAUGCGCACAGAAAUAAAAUUAUUGGGUAUGAGUGUUUCCAAGGCAUUUAAAAUGUAUUGUCAAUUUGCUUUCCACAAAGGCUGUAGCAAUUUAUAGUUCCACUAGUAGCAAAUGAGAAUGCUGAAGAUAUAAUAUUUUAAAGAAUAUAUAAUCACUUGGAUAAAUGGAGGAACACAUAUUUCUCAGUUGUCCAUGCCUUUGGAAAGGCUAAUGGCCUAUUAUGGGAUAUUAUGGCCCAGUCGUGACUACACACCUGGAGGCCUUGUACCUGAACAGCAGGGAAAGAAUUCAAAGAGUAAAUGGAGUUCAGCAUGACAGUCUUGCCAAUUCAGAUUUAUACAAAUCUAAAUUACCUAAAUGAGGGGUUUCUCUGUUAUUCCUGACACCAUUGCAGAGGAUCUUUCUGAACAUCUAUUGAGGUAUUAGUUUAACGGGAAAAUCUACCAUUGUAUCUUCUCAGUGAAAUCUGAUUAUCUUCAAGAGGCUUCCUCACAUAAAAAAGAGCGCGGGGUGGGGAGGAAUCAAUGCCUGGGUUUCUCUGCCUAGCAUGAAAAAUAAUUUUCUGCUAUAGGGUAAUUUUGAGCUCCUGUAAUCUUCCAAUUAUGUUUGAUUGCAGUGCCUCCUUCCUGUCUCAGUAUUAAAGGAUGGUCAGCACUUUUCUGCAACCAAAACCGACUUUCAGAUGAAGCUGCCACUUAUUUCAAUGGCUUGUUUAUAAUCAGCAGCUCUUUGAGCAUAUGGAGCAUCCCCACCUUGGAGGAGGAGCCCACCCCAGGACCUCUCCCUGACUAUUAGCCAACCUGUUAACACAUCACAGGGGUUAGGGGUCUACUAGGCGAGAUGAGCCUUCAGGUACUGUGUAUGGACAUGAAGAAUAAUGAGUUGGGUAUCUGCCCCUAGGAGGGCACCAUGCUAGUGGGAGAGUCAUAGGCAUAGGUGUGAAAAAUCACACUCCUAGAAGGCGCCAUGCCAGUGAGAGAGUUACAGGUACGUGUGUGAAAAGUCACAUAACGAUUGAGCCAGUCAUUCAUUCCACAGAUACUAAGCAUGCUGGAAGUUGGUAGCAAAGAGAUGAAUAAGUCAGAAUCCCUGCACUUAAAGUAUCCAUCUUGUAAGAAAACAGAAAUAUGAACAAAUAGUUAAAAUGCCACUUGGUAAGUGUAGUGCUAGAGGAAUGUGUCAAGGUUUGUAGUGAAAUGAGAAGGGAAUUCUGACUAUUCAAGGAAACUUCCUGGAGGAUGAGAAGGUUGGACUGUCUGUUUUUCAGAAGGUUGGACUUAAAAGGUGGUCAGUGAGGGGAGGUGCCCUCCAGGCAGAAAGAAUUGUAGGUGGAAAGGGAGGGAGACUUGAAAUCAUGUGAAUCUUUGAGUGGAAUGGAAAUUCAUUUGCUCCAGAGCAAAGUUAGAGGAUGGGUAGGGAAGGGACAGAAGAUGAGACUGGGAAGGUAGGAAAUGCUAGAUACUAGAGGGCCUUGUCUGCAAUGCAGAGGCAUUUGUUUGUUUUUUAAACUAUGCUAAAGUGUGAUUUUGUAGAGCUGGACAACUGAGUGAUUGAAGAGUGUAGAGGUGCCCAAGGAUGGCACGUUGCCUUAUGUGAGAACCUAGUGUCUUGAGAGGAUCAGGGAGGAAUGUCAUGCUGAGAGUAGCCCUGGGACAUGCCAAGCCUGAGGAGAAGAGAUAAAACUCCCAUGCAGAAUUACUUGAUGCAAAUCAUCCAUGCAGAUACCCUACCACCUAGGGGCUGGAGCAUGACUCCUUAUUCCUUAGGAGGCACUGCUUCCAGUGACUUUUUUCUAAGGGUGCAGUGUGGAAUGGGGGGCAGAAGUCAGAGAGAGUAAUUUCACAAUGAAGAAACACGACAAGCUCAGCUUCAGCCAGGGGGCCAAGGUCAACAUCAACAGUCAUAAAUCGUGUCAAUGGUAGGUAACCUUGAUAUGAGAUGAUAACAUUGGCACUUUAUCUCUGUGGUCUCCCUCUUGAUAACCCACAACCGCAGUUUAAUUAUGAGAGAAAACAUCAGACAAAUCCUAGGAGAGGGACAUUCUUCAAAAUACUUGACCAGUGUUCCCGAAACUGUCAAGGUCAUCAAAAACAAGGAAAGUCUUAGAAACUGUCACAGCAAGAGGAGCCUAAGAAGACAUGAUGGCUAAAUGUAACGUGGUAUCUUGGAUGGGAUUCUGAGACAGAAAAAAAAUCAUCAGGUUAAAACAAAGAAGGCUGAUCGCGGUGACUCACGCCUGUAAUCCCAGCACUUUGGGAGGCCGAGGCGGGUGGAUCAUGAGGUCAAGAGUUCGAGACCAGCCUGGCCAACACGGUGGAACCCCGUCUCUACUAAAAAUACAAAAUGUAGCCAGGCAUGGUGGUGGGCGCCUGUAAUCCCAGCUACUCAGGAGGCUGAGGCAGGAGAAUCGCUUGAACCCGGGAGGCAGAGGUUGUGAGCUGAGAUCACACCACUGCAUUUCAGCCCAGGCAACAGAGCAACACACCGUCUCAAAAAAAAAAUCUGACUAGAAUAUGGACUUUAGCUAAUAAUCAUAUGUCAACAUUGGUUUAUUAGUUGUAGCAAAGGUAUCGUCCUCAGGCAAGAUGUUAAUUAAGGGAAACUGUGUGUGUUGUAGGAGGGACCUAGCUGUACCAUCAUCUCAAUGUUUCUGUAAAACAAAAACUAUUCUAAAAAAAUAAAUAAUCUUUUUUUAAAUAAAACCAGGCAAGUCAAUCCAUGGACUUAAUCCCAGGAGGACCUGCAGGUAGGAGCCUCGAGAUACUGGAAGGGUAGAGACGAGAAUGAGUUUGCGUGCUGGAGGGAAAGCAUUUGAGAGAAUAGGAGAGAAAAAUAUCCAGGACUAGUAAGAAGGAGAGAAUCCGGGGCUAAGGGGAGACUGAAGCAAGCGUGAAACAGAGGAAGUAGCCCCCGGGCUGAGUCUUAAAGCAUGGAAAGAAUUCGGGUAGGCAGAAAUGGAGGUAGUCCUCUUAGAAACUUAGAAAAAUGCGAAUGAUGAAAGAUCUCAAAAGGAAUGUGCCAUGACCAGAAGAAUCCAUGGCUGCAUUAUGCUUUAAGUGGCUUUUUUUUUAAUAUAUACGGUGAACCGAGCUUGGGGAAAACCACUUUGGAUCACAGGGGUGAUGAUAAGGAGGAAGAGGCUGAGUAAAAACAGGAGAUACCAUUCUGCAAACUUUUUUUUUAACACAUUCAGGACCUAGUUUUAAAAUACAAAUAUUGUAAAGGAAAUAAUUAAUGGGAACAUGUUAAUGGGAGGGAAUAAAUUCUAAAAUCUCUCAUGGGGUUUUCUAAACUCUAAUUACCCUUCUUUCCUCUCAGGUAAAGUUUGAGAGCUUGUCAGUAUUCCCUGGAAGAGGAAAAUCUGUCUUGACAUAUAGAGGCCAAGACACAGAAUUUUAUAACUAAAAAUUGUUUGUUGAGUGAAUCAAUGAAAUAAUAGCAAUUGUCAGCAGCCCUAAGUGUAACUGCUCUUAUAAAGGUUUCACAGUUGGUGAUUAAAUUGAAAUUGAUCUACUUCAUUCAUUCAUACAAGUCUGAUUCUAAAUGCUACUGUGAUUUUAGUAUAGCCAAAUAUCUUUUUUAAAGCAGAGGAGGAAAUAAUUCAUUAAAACUGCCUUAUUGAAAGUCUUUUUGCUAAGAGAAAUAAUUUUUGCUAAAAGAAAAUAAUUACUACAGAAACCUAUCUGUCUGAAAUGAUCAAAUUAGUGAUUGGCUUGUUUUUCACUAAGCAGGUCCACCAGAAGUUACUCCAGCCAAGAAUUGGUCUCCUUUGUGGCACUGCCAUCAGAUCUUUAAAUGCAGCCAAGAAUUCAGCAGGUACCAUCCACAAAUACAACCCUUCCAUUUACUUCUAGGCUUUGUUUGAACCCUUAUGUAUUAAGACAGACAGAGACACGGAGAGGGUAUAGAAAAGCAAUUGUUAUUCAGAACUGAAUAAUGCUUCUAACAGUCUAGAACUUCUAAUUGUUUUUACCCCAAUCUGAGAUGAUUAGCUCAAAGUAGUCC
ensembl:lncRNA